GGUUGAUCCUGCCAGUAGUCAUAUGCUCGAUUCGUAGAUUAAGCCAUGCAAGUGUCAGUAUAAGAUUUUAUACGUCGAAACUGCGAAUAGCUCAUUAAAACAAUUAUAGUUUAUGUGGAAAUACAUUACUACACGGAUACCUGUGGUAAUUCUGGAGCUAAUACGUGCCUCAACAUCCAUUAGGAUGUCACUUAUUAGAUUAGAACCAACCUAUGCUUGCAUAGUUGUCUGGUGAUCCAUAAUAACUUAGUGAAUCGCAUGGCAUCUGCCGGCGAUAGUCCACCUAAGUUUUU
rnacentral:rRNA from 1 species